GCGAAGGUGGCGGAAUUGGUAGACGCGCUAGCUUCAGGUGUUAGUGUCCUUACGGACGUGGGGGUCCAAGUCCCCCCCCUCGCACCA
rnacentral:tRNA from 1 species